rnacentral:rRNA from 1 species
AUUGAACGCUGGCGGCAUGCCUUACACAUGCAAGUCGAACGGCAGCACGGGGCAACCUGGUGGCGAGUGGCGAACGGGUGAGUAAUGCAUCGGAACGUACCUUUCAGUGGGGGAUAACGUAGCGAAAGUUACGCUAAUACCGCAUAUUCUGUGAGCAGGAAAGCAGGGGAUCGCAAGACCUUGCGCUGAUUGAGCGGCCGAUGUCAGAUUAGCUAGUUUGUGAGGUAAAGGCUCACCAAGGCGACGAUCUGUAGCGGGUCUGAGUGGAUGAUCCGCCACACUGGAACUGAGACACGGUCCAGACUCCUACGGGAGGCAGCAGUGGGGAAUUUUGGACAAUGGGGGCAACCCUGAUCCAGCCAUGCCGCGUGAGUGAAGAAGGCCUUCGGGUUGUAAAGCUCUUUCGGCCGGGAAGAAAUCGCAUGGGCUAAUACCCUGUGUGGAUGACGGUACCGGAAUAAGAAGCACCGGCUAACUACGUGCCAGCAGCCGCAGUAAAAC